CUCAAGUCAGUCUCCUUGAUCCAGGGUUUGGGGCAAAAUUUAAGAGGUUGGGGGAACAGGCUGAUACGCGGAAGCGCCGGCAGGGCAGGUGUCCGUUGGAGGGCUCUAAAUAUUUACGAGUGACCCACCCCUAGUCAUUGGAAUUCAACUGUGCUCCAUGCUGUAGGAGAGGCAGCAACACCAAAUCUUUAUCUCAAUGUCUGCACUACCUUCCAAACAUAGAGCCUGAGUCAAGAACCCAGUGAGAUCCUGAGGGGAAAGCCUACAGCACAGAGAUUAUUUUCCUCGUGCUACAUUUGUAGCUCUAGAAAAGAGGCUACAUCUCCAGAUGCCACCCCCAUCCAACCUUCUGGAGGCAGCCCCAGGAGACAGCAGUGGUUGUGCACCAGAGGUAAAAAUGUUGGAUAAUUACUACCAUAUUCUCAUCACCUCAGAGGUGGAAAAGAUAGCCUGCCAUCUCCUUACAGUGAUCUUAAAGAAGCAGGUGCCCUGCACAAGGUGGCUGCUUUGAAGAUCCAUCCACAGAUGACUGCUCUCCUCCCCUGUGGGUUCUUCC
rnacentral:lncRNA from 1 species